rfam:Triticum aestivum genome assembly, contig: Triticum_aestivum_CS42_TGACv1_scaffold_220988_3B
UUAGUACUCCCUCCGUUCGGAAUUACUCGUCCAGAAAAUGAAUGUAUCUAGAUGUAUUUUAGUUGUAGAUACAUCCAUUUUUGUGACAAGUAAUUCCGAACGGAGGGAGUAAUAU